rnacentral:lncRNA from 1 species
UUAGAGAAGUUGGGUAUUUUUUUUAUUUAUUUAGCUUAUUUGAUUAAGAGUAGGUAUUGUUUAAUUUGAUUAGCUGUGGGUAUUUUUUUUUUUUUGGUUCAUAAGUUCAUAUGGUUAAGAGUAAUUAUUUUUUUCUCAUUAAUAAAAAAAUUAGCUCAAAGAAGCCAAUUUGGAGGAUAAUUAUUUAUAUACUCGAUAAUGUGCGGAAUGGUACGAAAUUUUUGCGCCAAAUAAUCCGCUUUUACAUACA